rnacentral:piRNA from 1 species
AGGUCCCUGAUCUCUUCACGUUGGUA